GCCCGCAUAGCUCAGUUGGUAGAGCAGCUGACUCUUAAUCAGUUGGUCGGGGGUUCGAAUCCUCCUGCGGGCACCA
rnacentral:tRNA from 1 species